rnacentral:rRNA from 1 species
GAUGAACGCUGGCGGCGUGCCUAAUACAUGCAAGUCGAGCGAAUGGAUUAAGAGCUUGCUCUUAUGAAGUUAGCGGCGGACGGGUGAGUAACACGUGGGUAACCUGCCCAUAAGACUGGGAUAACUCCGGGAAACCGGGGCUAAUACCGGAUAACAUUUUGAACCGCAUGGUUCGAAAUUGAAAGGCGGCUUCGGCUGCCACUUAUGGAUGGACCCGCGUCGCAUUAGCUAGUUGGUGAGGUAACGGCUCACCAAGGCAACGAUGCGUAGCCGACCUGAGAGGGUGAUCGGCCACACUGGGACUGAGACACGGCCCAGACUCCUACGGGAGGCAGCAGUAGGGAAUCUUCCGCAAUGGACGAAAGUCUGACGGAGCAACGCCGCGUGAGUGAUGAGGGCUUUCGGGUCGUAAAACUCUGUUGUUAGGGAAGAACAAGUGCUAGUUGAAUAAGCUGACACCUUGACGGUACCUAACCAGAAAGCCACGGCUAACUACGUGCCAGCCGCCGCCGUAA